CACACCACGAGAGUUUAUAACACCCGAAGUCGGUGAGGUAACCUGCAAAGGAGCCAGCCGCCGAAGGUGGGAUAGAUGAUUGGGGUGAAGUCGUAACAAGGUAGCCGUAUCGGAAGGUGCGGCUGGAUCACCUCCUUUCU
rnacentral:rRNA from 1 species